AGCAGCCGCGGUAAUUCCAGCUCCAAUAGCGUAUAUUAAAGUUGUUGCAGUUAAAAAGCUCGUAGUUGAACUUCGGGAUCAAUUGAUAUGGUCAUGCCUUGGUAUGUACUGUUCAUAUUGGUUCUCACCUUCUAAUGAACCAUAAUGUCAUUUAUUUGAUGUUAUGGGGAAUUAGGACUGUUACCUUGAAAAAAUUAGAGUGUUUAAAGCAGGCUCACGCUUGAAUACAUUAGCAUGGAAUAAUGAAAUAGGACAUCGCAUUCUAUUUUGUUGGUUUCUAGGAUCGAUGUAAUGAUUAAUAGGGAUAGUUGGGGGCAUUAGUAUUCAAUUGUCAGAGGUGAAAUUCUUGGAUUUAUUGAAGACUAACUACUGCGAAAGCAUUUGCCAAGGAUGUUUUCAUUAAUCAAGAACGAAAGUUAGGGGAUCGAAGACGAUCAGAUACCGUCGUAGUCUUAACCAUAAACUAUGCCGACUAGGGAUCGGAUGAUGUUGAUUUUUUAA
rnacentral:rRNA from 1 species